rnacentral:rRNA from 1 species
CCUACGGGAGGCAGCAGUGAGGAAUAUUGGUCAAUGGACGAGAGUCUGAACCAGCAAAGUAGCGUGAAGGAUGACUGCCCUAUGGGUUGUAAACUUCUUUUAUAUGGGAAUAAAAUGUUCCACGUGUGGGAUUUUGUAUGUACCAUAUGAAUAAGGAUCGGCUAACUCCGUGCCAGCAGCCGCGGUAAUACGGAGGAUCCGAGCGUUAUCCGGAUUUAUUGGGUUUAAAGGGAGCGUAGGUGGAUUGUUAAGUCAGUUGUGAAAGUUUGCGGCUCAACCGUAAAAUUGCAGUUGAAACUGGCAGGCUUGAGUACAGUAGAGGUGGGCGGAAGUCGUGGUGUAGCGGUGAAAUGCUUAGAUAGCACGAAGAACUCAGAUUGCGAAGGCAGCUCACUGGACUGCAACUGACACUGAGGCUCGAAAGUGUGGGUAUCAAACAGGAUUAGAUACCCUUGUAGUC